UAUCUACUCCCUCCGUCCGAAAAUACUUGUCAUCAAAAUGAAUAAAAGGGGAUGUAUCUAGAUGUAUUUUAAUUCUAGAUACAUUCCUUUUUGUCCAUUUUGAUGACAAGUUUUUUCGGACGGAGGGAGUAUAUA
rnacentral:pre_miRNA from 1 species